UUUAGAGGAACCUGCCCUGUAAACGAUGAGCCACGAUUAACUAAACUUUUAUUUGUAAUCAGUUUGUAUACCGCUGUUGUCAGUCAGUUUCUUUAGAAAACUUUCUCUCAUGAGGAUAAUCAUGGACUUCAAGUAAAGGUGCAGCUUAUGUAAAAGGUAGAGGUGGGUUACAUUUUUAGAUUAAUACGGAUAAAGUUUUUGAAAUUGCUUUUGAAGGUGGAUUUAAUUGUAAAGUUUAUAAAAACUUGAUGAGAGC
rnacentral:rRNA from 1 species